rnacentral:rRNA from 1 species
GUAGGGUGCAAGCGUUAUCCGGAAUUAUUGGGCGUAAAGGGCUCGUUGGCGGUUCGUCGCGUCCGGUGUGAAAGUCCAUCGCUUAACGGUGGAUCCGCGCCGGGUACGGGCGGGCUUGAGUGCGGUAGGGGAGACUGGAAUUCCCGGUGUAACGGUGGAAUGUGUAGAUAUCGGGAAGAACACCAAUGGCGAAGCCAGGUCUCUGGGCCGUCACUGACGCUGAGGAGCGAAAGCGUGGGGAGCGAACAGGAUUAGAUACCCUGGUAGUCCACGCCGUAAACGGUGGAUGCUGGAUGUGGGGACCAUUCCACGGUCUCCGUGUCGGAGCCAACGCGUUAAGCAUCCCGCCUGGGGAGU